AGCUGACAUUACAAUUAGAGCUGCUCAGUAUAUCGUUUGAGCUUCGUCAUCGCGAUGUCCGUGUGCGCAAUAGUCACAUCGCAGGUCCUGCAGUGUAGGAGGCAAAUGAACUCAACAUGUUCUCAUCUAAUUUCAGCCUGGGUA